rnacentral:rRNA from 1 species
UACGUAGGGUCCGAGCGUUGUCCGGAAUUAUUGGGCGUAAAGAGCUCGUAGGCGGUUUGUCGCGUCUGCUGUGAAAUCCCCGGGCUCAACCUGGGAAUGGCAAUGGAUACUGGCGGGCUAGAGUGUGUCAGAGGAUGGUGGAAUUCCCGGUGUAGCGGUGGAAUGCGUAGAGAUCGGGAAGAACAUCAGUGGCGAAGGCGGCCUGCUGGGCUGUUGCUGACGCUGAGGCGCGACAGCGUGGGGAGCAAACAGG